AUGCAUUUCAAGCAAACUACAACACCGAAACUACCUUCAGAUAUUUAUUAUGGGCAUAACUUUGUAGCAAAUAAAUUACUUGAAAAGCAUCGUACUGUUUACCGAUUCUUCCUUGGUUCGGGCCAGUUAUUCUUACAGCUAUCGGCGAGAUGUGCUGUUGAGACUUUGGCUGAGUUCGGAUUUGUACUGGGCGCGACGAGCUGUAUGUCUUCAACACACGAGCUGAAACUGACGUUCCUUAGUCCAGUGGGUCAUUUGGUGCUGAGUGAGGACAAGCAGUGUGUCUGUGCUGUCUGUGAGACUGAUGGGGUGUACUGUGUUGAUCUACCAACUCUGCACCCCAGGUCUCCCACUCCCCCAGCUGACCAGUCCCCUGGCCCUGCUCUCUUCAAAGUGUCGUCUAAUUCGCUGGCAGCCAGAGACAAGGGUGUGUGUUCUCUGAUCGAGGUGGUGGGUCCGUCUCCCUGCGAGAUGCAGUCUGGGGGUUUACUUUCUAUAAAGCUGCUGACCAAUGGAAACUGACUGGAGUUUAGUCUACCUGUCAUUACUGUUGGUCAACAUGAUGACUCAGAGGAAAAUGACAGCGCGGUAGUGGUCGUGCAACCUGUGUUGGCUUAUGUUUACAACAACAAAACCACAAUUUUCAUCAUUAUCAUCAUCCUCACUAGGCGUUGGCCAUUUUCUCCUGGAGCCUCUCCUCUUCAAACUCCUCUUCGGCGUCGACGCUGCCCUCAUCAACUCCCCUAUGAUCCUUUGUGGCCUGCUUGAUGGGCGUCUCUGCUCCCUCCCCUUACGUCUUCUGGGAUGACCAGGCCUCCGUGUCAGAGUACUACACAGCCCGGAGCAGCCAAUCACUUUUAUUGUAACCUUAGCCAGGGCAAAUGGUGGUCCUCAGUGUUUGGUAGCAGUGGGCCGACAGGGGAGGGUGGUGCUGGUCAGGACCUGUGAGGGGAGGCCGGAGGAGAGGAGUAAGGUAGCAAGCUUCAUGGAGGGGUGUGUGUCGUGGCCUGUUGUGUGUGUGUGUGUGUGUGCGCAGGCAGGAAAGGCCUGUACCAUAGCACCGGCUCAGAUACUCUAGCCUUGGAUCUCCCAGGGGAGCGAAAGGCAGCUCCAAGCCCAUGAGAGAGCCUGAUGGUAGGCCACUGUGAGAGGCAAGACCAGGGUCAGGCCAUGGAUAGACCCAGGGAGUAUGCUGUCCUGUCAGCCUGAAUGUCUGCAGGGUCAUCACCCUGGCUGGGCCACUCACACAAUGCCUCAGGUAAAGGUGUAUGUAUAUGUGUGUGUGUGUGUGUGUGUGUUCAGCUCACCCAAUAUUUUCUGUGACCAAUCUUUGUUGUCAGGUUUGUUUUAUAUAUGUGUGUGUGUGUGUGUGUGUGUGUGUGUGUGUGUGUGUGUGUGUGUGUGUGUGUGUGUGUGUGUGUGUGUUACAGGCACAGUGCAGCUGGUGGCGUUGUCUCUCAGAGGGAGGCUCCAGCUGUUGAGGUAACUGUAGGGGACACCAGUUUGAAGGAGGUUACAGUGAGGGAAAAAAGUAUUUGAUCCCCUGCUGAUUUUGUACGUUUGCCCACUGACAAAGAAAUGAUCAGUCUAUAAUUUUAAUGGUAGGUUUAUUUGAACAGUGAGAGACAGAAUAACAACAACAAAAUCCAGAAAAACGCAUGUCAAAAAUGUUAUAAAUUGAUUUGCAUUUUAAUGAGGGAAAUAAGUAUUUGACCCCCUCUCAAUCAGAAAGAUUUCUGGCUCCCAGGUGUCUUUUAUACAGGUAACGAGCUGAGAUUAGGAGCACACUCUUAAAGGGAGUGCUCCUAAUCUCAGUUUGUUACCUGUAUAAAAGACACCUGUCCACAGAAGCAAUCAAU
rnacentral:lncRNA from 8 species